GACGAACGCUGGAGGCGUGCUUAACACAUGCAAGUCGAACGAUGAAAUGGAGCUUGCUCCAUGGAUUAGUGGCGAACGGGUGAGUAACACGUGAAUAACCUGCCCUUAAUUUUGGAAUAACCCAGGGAAACCUGGGCUAAUACCGGAUAAGUAAACCUGUGGCAUCACAUGGUUUUGGAAAGUUUUUCGAUUAAGGAUGGAUUCGCGGCCUAUCAGCUUGUUGGUGAGGUAAUGGCUCACCAAGGCGACGACGGGUAGCCGGCCUGAGAGGGUGAACGGCCACACUGGGACUGAGACACGGCCCAGACUCCUACGGGAGGCAGCAGUGGGGAAUAUUGCGCAAUGGACGAAAGUCUGACGCAGCGACGCCUCGUGAGGGACGAAGGUCUUCGGAUUGUAAACCUCUUUCAGCAGGGACGAAGCGAAAAUGACCGUACCUGCAGAAGAAGCACCGGCUAACUAUGUGCCAGCCGCCGCCGUAA
rnacentral:rRNA from 1 species